rnacentral:rRNA from 1 species
GUGAGGAAUAUUGCGCAAUGGAGGCAACUCUGACGCAGCCAUGCCGCGUGCAGGAAGAAGGCGCUACGCGUUGUAAACUGCUUUUAACCGGGAAGAAACCCCAGGACGUGUCCUGGGUUGACGGUACCGGAGGAAUAAGCACCGGCUAACUUCGUGCCAGCAGCCGCGGUAAUACGAAGGGUGCAAGCGUUAUCCGGAUUCAUUGGGUUUAAAGGGUGCGUAGGCGGAGCGUUAAGUCAGUGGUGAAAUCCUGCAGCUUAACUGUAGACUUGCCAUUGAUACUGGCGCUCUUGAGUGCGCUUGAAGUGGGCGGAAUGUGCCGUGUAGCGGUGAAAUGCUUAGAUAUGGCACAGAACACCAAUUGCGAAGGCAGCUCACUAAGGCGAUACUGACGCUGAGGCACGAAAGCGUGGGGAUCUAACAGGAUUAGAAACCCGUGUAGUCC